rnacentral:lncRNA from 1 species
CUCUUAAAGAGACAGAGGAAGAGAUUAAGAAACUCCCUUUAACAAGCCCCUCUUCCUACAUGAAGCCUUUCUUAUCUUCUCUCAGUUAUCAGUACUUGUUCCCUCCUUAGAUUUGUUUAUUUUUCUAUUAACAUGUUAUGACCCUCUUCCUUCCUUCCACUAGGAUGAUAGCUACUUAAGAAGAAGGGAUUACUAAGGAGUCGCUGCACAGUGUAAAGAAGCACAAGGUCAAGGAGACCAACAAUCCCUGCGAGGAUCUUCACCGAGAGAGAGGACUUGUUUUGAGGUGCAUCUCUCUGUGCUUGGUUUCCAGGAUCUUCUCUCAAUUGAGUUUCCCAUUCAAAGAACUAGGAUGCUCAAAAACAGGAGUAAUUGAAGUGAGGGAAGGAGAGGGAGGUGUGUGGCUUUAUGAUAAGGAGGAGCACAUCUGAAUUGAAUUUUAAAGGACAAAAGGAAGUGGGAUGGCAGAGAAAAGUAGGAGUUUAUCAUGCUUUAUCUGUAAUUUCUAUUCAUAAAAAAUCUUGUAUUUCAUGCAAAUCUGCAAAGGUUCUCAGAGUUAGAGAUUACCUAAUUCUUAAUAAAGCUUUUUCAGAGAUUCAAUACUCAGGGACUUUGCGUUUCUUUUUCAUUGGUAAUCUCAAAAAUUUAGGUAACUUUAGAAAAAAACUAUAGUAAAAAUAAUACUAAACCUAUAAAUCUUGAGUGGGGAGCUUCUAUUUACUUUUUAUCUCUCUGUGAUUUUGAUGCCCACUGAUAACUUCUCAAAAGCACAUAGGGAUCAGCUGGUUCAGGCUAUCUCUCUUUCCCUGAGGGACUGGUGUUCCUGGGAUUUCAAAUCCAUUUUUUUAAAGGAGUUUCUCCAUUAGCAUGUUCUAACCAUCUUCUCCAAAUGAAGGCUACAUAUGCCACUUCUCACCAGUGUCCUAGCUACUAGUUUAUGAUGAUGCAUGGAAGGCAGAGGGGAAUAGAAUAGAAAGAUGAUGGAUCUAGAAUCAGUGGUUGGGUUUAAAUCUCUGCUGUCAUUUACUAUCUUUGAAACCUUAAACGAGAUCAGUGUCUGACCCUCAGCUUCUUUAAUUCUAAAAAAUGAGAAGAUUGUGCUAGAAUCUAGCACACCCUGAAGGACCCUUCCAUCUCUAAAUCUAUGAUUAUCUUUACAUUCUUAUGCUUCCUCCCAUAAUAUACAGGUUUGUUUUCUCAUAGCUCUCCCCUAUCCAAUUUUUAAAACCCUGAAUUAAAUCAAUUACAUAAAAUAAGUCAUUUGGCUUUGAGAGUCUAUCUUGUAAUUAUAACAAUGGAACCAAAGGAAUAAUUUCAUCUAAAACAUUUUAAAGGGAACACAGUUAUCUAAACUAACUGCCAACAAUUAGGAAACAGCAUUAAAUCAGGGCGUGUUAAGUUAUAUGAUUAGACAUGAUGUGAUUUUUCCCUCAUGGACAUGGGGUCAGGGGAGAUAAAGGUUUUUUUACAUUGUUAUUUUCCUAACCUUUUCAUAAAGCGCAAAAG